UACGUAGGAGACGAGCGUUGUCCGGAGUUACUGGGCGUAAAGGGUGCGCAGGCGGCCUGGCGCGUCGCGAGUGAAAUCUCCUGGCUCAACUGGGAGGGUGGUCGCGAGACGGCUGGGCUUGAGGUCGGGAGGGGGAAGCGGAAUUCCGGGUGUAGUGGUGGAAUGCGUAGAUAUCCGGAGGAACACCAGUGGCGAAGGCGGCUUCCUGGCCCGAUUCUGACGCUGAUAUGCGAAAGCGUGGGGAGCGAUCCGG
rnacentral:rRNA from 1 species